CUCUCUCUCUCUCUCUCUGAGCACAACUCCUCAAAAUUAAAACAAGGAAGAAGCUCACUCCCUCCUACAUGGGCUCCACUACACCGCCUUUGAGCAUUUCCAUGCAAGCCUGGAGACCCGACAAUGCUUUCAAAUCUAUAGGAAGAACAUUUGUUGGCAUCAUCAUAACUUCCACAUUACCUCCCCCACCCCCGCCAUAGAUGCUUUAUUC
rnacentral:lncRNA from 1 species